GCCAGCCGCUCAGAAACUCAAAGGAAUUGACGGGGCCCGCACAAGCGGUGGAGUAUGUGGUUUAAUUCGAUGCAACGCGAAGAACCUUACCUGGUCUUGACAUCCCGGAGACCCUUAGGAAACUAGGGGGUGCUUCCAUCUGGAAGAAUCUGGAGACAGGUGCUGCAUGGCUGUCGUCAGCUCGUGUCGUGAGAUGUUGGGUUAAGUCCCGCAACGAGCGCAACCCUUGCCUUUAGUUGCCAGCAGUUCGGCUGGGCACUCUAAAGGGACUGCCGGUGUUAAACCGGAGGAAGGUGGGGAUGACGUCAAGUCCUCAUGGCCUUUAUGACCAGGGCUACACACGUACUACAAUGGCCGAUACAAAGGGCAGCGACACUGCGAGGUGAAGCCAAUCCCGUAAAAUCGGUCUCAGUCCGGAUUGGAGUCUGCAACUCGACUCCAUGAAGUUGGAAUCGCUAGUAAUCGUGGAUCAGCAUGCCACGGUGAAUACGUUCCCGGGCCUU
rnacentral:rRNA from 1 species